AAGCAGGGGAUCGCAAGACCUUGCGCUUUUAGAGCGGCCGAUGUCUGAUUAGCUAGUUGGUGAGGUAAAGGCUUACCAAGGCUUCGAUCAGUAGCUGGUCUGAGAGGACGACCAGCCACACUGGGACUGAGACACGGCCCAGACUCCUACGGGAGGCAGCAGUGGGGAAUUUUGGACAAUGGGGGAAACCCUGAUCCAGCCAUGCCGCGUGAGUGAAGAAGGCCUUCGGGUUGUAAAGCUCUUUCAGCCGGAACGAAACGGUCACGGCUAAUACCUGUGAUCACU
rnacentral:rRNA from 1 species